CCUACGGGUGGCAGCAGUGAGGAAUAUUGGUCAAUGGCCGAGAGGCUGAACCAGCCAAGUCGCGUGAGGGAAGACGGCCCUACGGGUUGUAAACUUCUUUUGUCGGGGAGCAAAGCGAGUCACGUGUGACUCUUUGAGUGUACCCGAUGAAAAAGCAUCGGCUAACUCCGUGCCAGCAGCCGCGGUAAUACGGAGGAUGCGAGCGUUAUCCGGAUUUAUUGGGUUUAAAGGGUGCGCAGGCGGAGGUGCAAGUCAGCGGUCAAAUUGCGGGGCUCAACCCCGUACUGCCGUUGAAACUACAUGCCUUGAGUGCAGGAGAGGUAGGCGGAAUGCGUGGUGUAGCGGUGAAAUGCAUAGAUAUCACGCAGAACUCCGAUUGCGAAGGCAGCAUACCGGCGCGCAACUGACGCUCAUGCACGAAAGCGUGGGUAUCGAACAGGAUUAGAUACCCUUGUAGUC
rnacentral:rRNA from 1 species